AGAAAGAUGUCCGGUUCUAUGAUCUUUUACAUAUGAUGGUGUUGAAUAUGCUCUUUAUGAUUGUGUAUAUAUGUACAAGGAAGGGGAACCCGAACCUUAUAUGGUAAAGUUAUAAAGAUAUGGGAGAAUGCUGAUAAGACGAAGAAAUAAAGGUUCUUUGGUUUUUCGCGUCCUUGUGAAUUUCAAAUUUUCUUGGGAAUGAUCAGAUACCUGAGAAUGAAUUAUUUCUGCAUGUGGUGAAGGUGUAGGCCUUGCUAAUGUCAAUCCUCUGGAAGCAAUUGCUGGAAAAUGCAAGGUUGUUUUGCAUUUCAAAGGAUGACAGAAUCCACAACCAUCAGCUGGAGAACUUCAAAUGAGUGACUUGUCUUUACCGGACGUUUGAUGUUGGGCACCGUAAAAUCUUGGAUACAAUUGAUGAAAUGAUUGCUGGGAUUCAAGUGAAGUUUAUAUUUAACCGACUGGAUUCUCAAAAAUCUAGUGGUGAUCUGAAACUUGUUUCAGAAAAGAAGAUGUCGCUGUAGCAGUGGAAGUAGUGAUUUCAGCCGAGCAAGAGGUGCCAGAAAAACAUGUAACUGAAGAAGCAGAGGGUACUCUAUGAUACCUUGCCAAUGAAAUGUGAAUGCUUCUUUAGUUAAACAAAAGUCUUCUCUUUUAGAAAAGCCAACUUCUAGUGUAGAUUUAGAGCCAGGUGAAAGGAUAAAAUGAAAAUAAAAGAGAUGCAUCAUUGUUGAACGCUGCACUGGUUAAACAGAAACCUCACUUGGAAAAAAGCUGCCUCUUCUGUAGGCAUAGAUUGCAGUGAAAUGGCAAAUGC